rnacentral:sRNA from 1 species
CACAAGAACAUUAACAACCGACGGCAUACAACAGUUAGACGAGAAUAUCCCGAUGUUACUUUGUAAUU